AUUGAACGCUGGCGGCAGGCUUAACACAUGCAAGUCGAGCGGGGACUUCGGUCCUAGCGGCGAACGGGUGAGGAAUGCUUGGGAAUCUGCCCAGUAGCGGGGGAUAACGUUUCGAAAGGAACGCUAAUACCGCAUACGCCCUACGGGGGAAAGGGGGGGAUCUUCGGACCUCUCACUAUUGGAUGAGCCCAAGUCGGAUUAGCUAGUUGGUGGGGUAAAGGCCUACCAAGGCGACGAUCCGUAGCUGGUCUGAGAGGAUGAUCAGCCACACUGGAACUGCGACGCGGUCCAGACUCCUACGGGAGGCAGCAGUGGGGAAUAUUGGACAAUGGGCGAAAGCCUGAUCCAGCCAUGCCGCGUGUGUGAAGAAGGCCUUCGGGUUGUAAAGCACUUUAAGCGAGGAGGAAUGGCUCUUGGUUAAUAACCUUGAGCAGUGACGUUACUCGCAGAAUAAGCACCGGCUAGCUCUGUGCCAGCCGCCGCAGUAAAAC
rnacentral:rRNA from 1 species